CUGAUGCUGAAAAUGAUCAGAGGACUCGCGGUGAUGAAAGUGAUUUGCAUGUCAUAAUCUUUGAUGAAAUUGAUGCUAUUUGCAAGUCGAGAGGAUCAACCAGGGAUGGUACUGGAGUUCGUGACAGUAUUGUGAAUCAACUGCUUACAAAGAUAGAUGGUGUAGAGGCUUUGAAUAAUGUCUUGCUCAUUGGAAUGACCAACAGAAAGGAUUUACUUGAUGAAGCCCUAUUGAGACCAGGACGGUUGGAGGUUCAAGUUGAGAUAAGCCUGCCUGAUGAGAAUGGUCGUCUACAAAUUCUUCAAAUUCAUACAAAUAAAAUGAAGGAAAAUUCCUUUCUUGCUCCUGAUGUGAACCUUGCAGAACUUGGUACGUGCAUUGGUGAUGUAUACUAGUGAGACCUAUCAUAUUUAUUUUUUAGAUUGCGACAUUUAAAUGAUGAGUAUUUCCUUCUGUUAUGGUGUAUUCAGUAUUAAUGUGUCUGUUCCAUCCUCUAGUUGUCUCAGAAAUGAUCAGGGCACUGAACUGAACUAGAUGCCAUUUUCAAUGUGUCACCAGCUUCUCUUUUUUUGCUUCUCUUUGCUUCUCAGCUUCUCUUUCUUUCUCUUUUUUUUUUCGUCUACACAACUAUGUUAUUCUCCUCCACUCACUCUCGUCUACACAACCACUCACUCACUAAUUUCUGGUUUCGUCUCGUCAUUUGUAACUAAACAGUAUAACAAUUCAAGUCACUAAACCGUCUUUUCAUGAUUAUGAAUAAGCCUUCUUUUGGCAUAGUGCUUAGAGAAUCAAUACACAAUUUUUUGUAGCUACUUCUUUCUUCCGAAAUUGCUUUUUCAUUUGUGAGA